GGUCAGGUAGCCUAGUAGUUAAGGCAGCCCAUGCCUGUUGGGUCCAGAUCUAUUGAAUCUGGUUUCUGGUUCAAAUCCAGCCCUGACCA
rnacentral:tRNA from 1 species